rnacentral:tRNA from 1 species
UGUGCCUUAGCUCAAUGGGUCAGAGCGCGACACUGAUAAUGUCGAGGUACCAGGGUCGUAGCCUGGAGGCACAA